CUUCUCCAACAACAAUAUUCUUCAACAAAUCAACAUAAUACACUAAAUGAAACAAAAAAUCUCUCAACUAAGGGCGGUAUUUAAGGCAUUGAAUUGGAUUAAAAUACUGACUAAAGUAUUUUUAUUGAAAUUGUGGUUAUUCAAAGGAAAAAUUUAAAAACAACGGAUCGAUUGUGUGAAAACAUGGAGAAUGAUAAUUAACAUUCAAUCGUGAUACAAUAUGAAGUUAGAUGGGAUAUCACGGCUGAAGUUAUUCAAAAUGGAAAAAAAUAAAAACGGAAGAAUGAUUUUCUCACAAUAUGGAUGAUGAUAAUUUAUAUUCAAUCAUGAUACAACAUGGAGUAUAUUUGAAUCAAGAAAAGGUGAAUAAAAAUUUCUUCAUCAAGUAUCCAUGGUGUAUAACAUUGAGGGAUAUGAAUAUGGAUGUGAUAGUGUGGUGUCGAAUUCAUUGUGAUGAAAAUAGUUUACAUUCAACUAAAGGAAUUCGGGAGAUAAAAGAUCUAUAUUCAACUAAUUGCUUGAGGCCAAAGCAAUAAUUAUUUAGAUGUAGAACAUCUACCAAUUCAACCAUUAGACAUAAUGUGAUUAGUUGUUUUUGUUUUACCAAUUAGACAUACAUUGAUUGUAUUGUAUUGUAUUGUAUUGAAUUGUAUUGUAUUGUAUUGUAUUGUAUUGUAUUGUA